rnacentral:rRNA from 1 species
GAUACAGAUUAAAUCAGAACGCAGAAGCGGUCUGAUAAAACAGAAUUUGCCUGGCGGCCUUAGCGCGGUGGUCCCACCUGACCCCCAUGCCGAACUCAGAAGUGAAACG